CAGUCGCCGCGGGAAUACGAAGGGGGCUAGCGUUGCUCGGAAUUACUGGGCGUAAAGGGAGCGUAGGCGGACUGUUUAGUCAGAGGUGAAAGCCCAGGGCUCAACCUUGGAAUUGCCUUUGAUACUGGCAGUCUUGAGUACGGAAGAGGUAUGUGGAACUCCGAGUGUAGAGGUGAAAUUCGUAGAUAUUCGGAAGAACACCAGUGGCGAAGGCGACAUACUGGUCCGUUACUGACGCUGAGGCUCGAAAGCGUGGGGAGCAAACAGGAUUAGAUACCCCUGUAGUCCCUGUCUCUUAUAC
rnacentral:rRNA from 1 species